GAACUCUAGAUUCCACAUUGACCUCUCUUACUGGGUUUUUGUGAUACUUCUUCCUCUAACCCUACUUAUAUAACUAUUACUUAGUCAAUAUGUGCAGAACUCAUUCUCUUACCCCCAACACACCUGUUUACCCAACUUCCCAACUACUAUCAAAGGUAAAACUAUUCUUUAAAGUUCAGUGUCAUCUUUGAAUCCAAAUUAGCAUUCAUUCCACCUACCCUGUCUGUUAAGAAUUUUUAUGAUAUAUACCUUAAUAAUGAUUCUUAUUUGUAUAAACCUACAAAUAUUACAAUUAUGCAUAUUAAAUAUGUCUAUUUACAUAUUAUUCACUGUGCAUAUCUAUUAGAUAUUAUGCAUAUAUAUAAUUUUAUAGGUAUAUAUAUAAUUGCCAAUUAAGGGAAUCUAGAUUUUCUAAUAGGCUUUUUUUUUUAUCUUUCAGACUCCAUCUUUCCAGUUGUACUAGAGAUGAAAACUUGGUGAAUUAUAGUGGGGGGAAAUGUAUCGAUGUUGCACCAGGAAGUAAGCAAAAGAAAGAGACUGAAUCUUGAGCCCCUCUCCUACACUACUUCCUGUUUCUUCCUUACCAACUGUCUGGAUGAAGGUUUUUCUCACAGAUGGAAGGAGCUGGAGGGCUCUGGAGUGAGUUCAGCUUUGGAAACUGAAUUGGAGGUCAGGAGUCAGAGCUGGCCGUCUGAAGGAGUUGGAGCUUGGACUAGUUGGACUGGCUGGGUCUCUGAACUUAAUUGGAGUUUUGCUUGGGACAAAAUCUUCUGGUGGAGAUAA
rnacentral:lncRNA from 1 species